rnacentral:snRNA from 1 species
AAAAAUACCUUGUUGAGGACAUACCAUGAUUAUGAAGGUGGAUUUCCCAUGAGACUUAUCUAUUGCACUCCAGAUGUUCUGUUCCCUGAAAUUUCCCUAAAUGCAGGAAAUCUGACUCCAUAAUUUGUGAGAACUGUGUUUGUACUUUC